rnacentral:rRNA from 1 species
ACCGUUUGCUUACAAACCGUUGGAGCACCCCUGGUAGGUGUGACAGCGUGCCUUUUGAAGAAUGAGCCUGCGAGUUAGCGAUAUGUGGCGAGGUUAACCCGUGUGGGGUAGCCGUAGCGAAAGCGAGUCUGAAUAGGGCGAUUCAGUCGCAUGUCCUAGACCCGAAGCGAAGUGAUCUAUCCAUGGCCAGGUUGAAGCGACGGUAAGACGUCGUGGAGGACCGAACCCACUUAGGUUGAAAACUGAGGGGAUGAGCUGUGGAUAGGGGUGAAAGGCCAAUCAAACUUCGUGAUAGCUGGUUCUCUCCGAAAUGCAUUUAGGUGCAGCGUUGCGUGUUUCUUGCCGGAGGUAGAGCUACUGGAUGGCCGAUGGGCCCUACAAGGUUACUGACGUCAGCCAAACUCCGAAUGCCGGUAAGUGAGAGCGCAGCAGUGAGACUGUGGGGGAUAAGCUUCAUAGUCGAGAGGGAAACAACCCAGACCACCAACUAAGGUCCCAAAGCGCGUGCUAAGUGGGAAAGGAUGUGGAGUUGCUCUGACAACCAGGAG